UAACUCUUAAAUCAUUUUUGGUCAUUGGAUUUGGCUGAGAUUUAAUCUCAGCCACUUAAACUCAUAAAAAUAACUGCUUUUAUGGCAGUUCAGGACGGUUCUUUAUGGUUAUCAGCAGUUCCCCCUUUUUCUCCUCCCCACGUUGCAGGUAACCUCCAAAUUUACUGUCUCCUUUUUUUCCUCCCCACGUCGCAGGUAACCUUUAUAUACCCUUCCUCUUCUACAAAUCUGAUAUAUACAUAGCUUUCAUCAAUCACUAUCUCAAACCUUCAUUCAAUCGCAACUGGUAAGCAUCUAGAUUUAAAUUAGGGUUAUGAUUAUAAUUUUUGUGUUCGUGUUACUACCCCACCAGAUUUGCCCCUAAAUUCCUAUCCCCUUUCAAGUUGCAGAUGUUUUAUACCCCUACUUUCCUGUUCUUUCUCUAAUUUGAUCGUUAAUCGCUUGCAGCAAUCCAUGUCAGCUUCGUAAGACCAAUAAUUGAAGCUUCGUUUUGCAGAGUUGGUAGAUGACUGACAAGGACUGAAUCAUUAUGUCGAUUCGUUUGGAAUUUAUCUUACACGAAUAUUUUCAGCCUAAUUUAAGGUUGACUCUGGCUUUUUUUGGCUACAGACGUGUUCUUUCUUGCCUUCAUAUUGUUUUGUAUGUAGUCCUAUCGGCUGCUUUUUGUUUUUGCUUGCCCUGCAUUAUUGCCUUCAUGUACUACAUCAACCGCCAGGAACGUGCAUCGGAUGGUGAAAAUCAGGAGCCUACCCAAAUACAGAUAUGUAGUGUCCAAUGCUGACGUCGAGCAACCUGAUGUUAGUGCAUGUAGAAUGAUCCUUAUGUGGACACAUGGCCAAUACUUCUCCACUGAGCGUGUUUUUCUAAUUGAGAUGCGAGAUUGCAAUUUCGGCCAUGGGUCAAAAUGGUUGUGCUUCAUCUUAAAUGGGUCAAAUAGAAAAGGUAAAAUGGGAAUGGUUCAUACGGGUCAAACGGGUGAGAG